AGAAUUAGUUUAAUUAAAAUACUAGUUUUGGAUACUAACAAUUUCUGUUAUA
rnacentral:tRNA from 1 species